rnacentral:lncRNA from 1 species
CGACGAAAGCCGGGAUGCACUCCCAAAUCAGAGCCGCCCGCUGACAGCCGAAGAGGGCAUGAUGGAUAGAUAUUCUACGUUUUUUGUUGGAUAGUUAUUUUAUAAGAUUUGACCCCAGAAACUUUUUCUUUUUGUUCCAGAUUGGAUAAUUAUUCCGUCUUUAUUCUUGAUCAUUUAAACCCAUUUCGCUAGAGCAAGACCUGUUCCGCAUAAAGUUAUUCCAGACUUUCUUUCCAUUUUUUUUUAUUGCAUUAGAUGGUGGAAAACUGAAGAGUGACGUAAGGUGCAUUGCUAAUGGGAUCCGAGUUCCGUGGGAUAUUGUGACAUUACUUGAUUUAGCCAAAAUAGAGACGUUAUAAUCUGAGAGAACAGUGCAUAUGGCACGCCAAUCAAUUUAAUCGAACGCGUCUUCAACCAUAUGAAACCUUAUUGUCUUCUCCUCAAUUACCUCA